rnacentral:lncRNA from 1 species
CUGUUAUUGAUUUAUUUAUUAAGACUUUUACUUUAUUUAUUUAAGCAGUCCAAUUGAGACCAAGGACUAUUUUGCAACUCAAAAUUACACCAAAAUCACAAUCCGAGCAGCAUAGAAAAUACAAAAAAUAUAUAUAAUAACAAAAUAACAUUAACAACAACCACAUUCCUCAGUAAAGAAGUCCUAAGCCAACAUUCUGAGUUGCUGCUGAUGUCGCCAUAGUCGCCAUAGGACCAGAAGAAACGGAGGAGAGGAAACAUGGCAACAAAUGCGCUGAAAUUAGACAUUCCUUCUCCACUAGCGUAUCAGUCAAAUUACAUUUCCCUGGAAGGGUUCAGAAGGUGAGGGGUCAGGGGUCAACAUCGGGAGACUAGGCUGCUCCCGAGGGAGGUGGUGGCAGCCUUCUCUCUCUCCUGCAAGAGAGAGAGAGAGAGAGAGAGAGAGAGCGAGAGAGCGAGAGAGAGCGAGCGAGAGAGGCAGGGGUGGUGUAUGAUUUCAGAAAACACAGCAGUCGUCAUCUAAGCUCUCAGCAAUAGGACUUAUAUCUUCAUCUGAGCUCUCAGCAAUAGGACUUCUAUCUUCAUCUGAGCUCUCAGCAAUAGGACAUACAUCUUCAUCUGAGUUCUCAUCUUCAUCAGAGUCAUCAAAAAUAGCCCCUUCUCCCAGAAUCAGCUUGUGAUGCAGGGACAAAGCCUCCAGAGUUCCCACUGCUCUUUGUAGGCUCCCCCAGCGCUUCCAGUUCCCACUGCUCUUUGUAGGCUCUCCCAGUCCCUCUUCAUCUCCUGCACCAGGAUCUUCUCUUCCUCCUGCAGUCUGUUCAGCAACGUCCGUCUGUCCAAGAUUGCCUUUUUGAUUGCAAGAUGGCUGUUGCCUGUGAGAUGUAAACUCACAGAGGUAUAUAACAGAACAACAGCAAUGACUGCAGCCUACGCUGAAGGAAAUGGCUUCCUGGAUUCCCCCAAGCAGCUGAUUGGCCGGCACCCAUUGCCGAUUGGAGUUCUGAUCCCGCCCUCUCGUUAGGGGAUACAGCUGUCGGCAAUUACCGACUCCUUCCUAGCUUUAAAAGCCAUUGUUCCUUUGUUAGGAAGAGAGCUUCUUGGUAUGUUCUGUUGUUGGUCUGUAUAAGUUUUGUAAAGUAUUUUGUAGCCGGUCCUGCAGGUGUAUGCCAUAGGACUGUUUUUGAUUAGGGAAAUUGUUCACUGUACAGUUGUAAUUAUUCUGUUUUUGUUCCCAGGGGGGCACCUUGGGAGUUCUUAGGCAAGAGGCCUGCGGGCAUACAUAUACCUGUAGCAUUUACUAUGUCUAUGCACAUUAGGUAAGAC